rnacentral:rRNA from 1 species
UUUAGACAAUCUUCCCUCAAGUGGGAAACAACCUGACGAAAGUCGGGCUAAUGUCCCAUAAGACCACAUUCUGGCAUCAGAGAGAGGUCAAAGGUCCGCAAGGGCCGCUGGAGGAGGAGUCUAAAUCCUAUCAUGGUAGUUGGUGAGGUAACGGCUCACCAAGCCUACGACGGGUAGCCGGCCUGAAAGGGUGAUCGGCCACACUGGCACUGAGACACGGCCAG